UACGGGGGUUGCAAGCGUUGUUCGAAAUUACUGGGCGUAAAGGGCGCGUAGGUUGUGGCGUAAGUCUCGUGUGAAAUCCCCAAGCUUAACUUGGGACGGUCACGGGGUACUGCGUCGCUAGAGUGCGAGAGAGGAAAGCGGAAUUCCCAGUGUAAUGGUGAAAUAUAUAGAUAUUGGGAGGAACACCGGAGGCGAAAGCGGCUUUCUGGCUCGUAACUGACGCUGAGGCGCGAAAGCGUGGGUAGCAAACAGG
rnacentral:rRNA from 1 species